CGGUUAAGUUAGAAAGGGCGCACGGUGGAUGCCUUGGCACUAGGAGCCGAUGAAGGACGGGACUAACACCGAUAUGCUUCGGGGAGCUGUAAGUAAGCUUUGAUCCGGAGAUUUCCGAAUGGGGAAACCCACUGUUCGUAAUGGAACAGUAUCUUUACCUGAAUACAUAGGGUACUGAAGGCAGACCCGGGGAACUGAAACAUCUAAGUACCCGGAGGAAGAGAAAGCAAACGCGAUUUCCUGAGUAGCGGCGAGCGAAACGGAAUUAGCCCAAACCAAGAGGCUUGCCUCUUGGGGUUGUAGGACACUCAACAUGGAGUUACAAAGGAACGGGGUAAAUGAAGCGACCUGGAAAGGUCCGUCGAAGAAGGUAAAAACCCUGUAGUUGAAACUUCGUUCCCUCCUGAGUGGAUCCUGAGUACGGCGGGACACGAGAAAUCCCGUCGGAAGCAGGGAGGACCAUCUCCCAAGGCUAAAUACUCCCUAGUGACCGAUAGUGAACCAGUACCGUGAGGGAAAGGUGAAAAGCACCCCGGAAGGGGAGUGAAAUAGAUCCUGAAACCGUGUGCCUACAAGUAGUCAAAGCCCGUUAAUGGGUAAUGGCGUGCCUUUUGUAGAAUGAACCGGCGAGUUACGAUUUCAUGCGAGGUUAAGUUGAUGAGACGGAGCCGCAGCGAAAGCGAGUCUGAAUAGGGCGAAUGAGUAUGAGGUCGUAGACCCGAAACCAGGUGAUCUACCCAUGUCCAGGGUGAAGUUCAGGUAACACUGAAUGGAGGCCCGAACCCACGCACGUUGAAAAGUGCGGGGAUGAGGUGUGGGUAGCGGAGAAAUUCCAAUCGAACCUGGAGAUAGCUGGUUCUCUCCGAAAUAGCUUUAGGGCUAGCCUCAAGAUGAGAGUAUUGGAGGUAGAGCACUGAUUGGACUAGGGGCCCCCAACGGGUUACCGAAUUCAGUCAAACUCCGAAUGCCAAAUACUUAUUCUUGGGAGUCAGACUGCGAGUGAUAAGAUCCGUAGUCGAAAGGGAAACAGCCCAGACCACCAGCUAAGGUCCCAAAGUAUACGUUAAGUGGAAAAGGAUGUGGAGUUGCUUAGACAACCAGGAUGUUGGCUUAGAAGCAGCCACCAUUUAAAGAGUGCGUAAUAGCUCACUGGUCGAGUGACUCCGCGCCGAAAAUGUACCGGGGCUAAACGUAUCACCGAAGCUGUGGAUUGACACCGUAUGGUGUCGAUGGUAGGAGAGCGUUCUAAGGGCGUUGAAGUCAGACCGGAAGGACUGGUGGAGCGCUUAGAAGUGAGAAUGCCGGUAUGAGUAGCGAAAGAAGGGUGAGAAUCCCUUCCACCGAAUGCCUAAGGUUUCCUGAGGAAGGCUCGUCCGCUCAGGGUUAGUCGGGACCUAAGCCGAGGCCGAAAGGCGUAGGCGAUGGACAACAGGUUGAUAUUCCUGUACCACCUAUACAUCGUUUGAACGAUGGGGGGACGCAGAAGGAUAGGGUAAGCGCGCUGUUGGAUAUGCGCGUCCAAGCAGUUAGGCCGGAAACGAGGCAAAUCCCGUUUCCAUUAAGGCGGAGCUGUGAUGGCGAGGGAAAUAUAGUACCGAAGUUCCUGAUUCCACGCUGCCAAGAAAAGCCUCUAGUGAGAUGUAAGGUGCCCGUACCGCAAACCGACACAGGUAGGCGAGGAGAGAAUCCUAAGGUGUGCGAGAGAACUCUCGUUAAGGAACUCGGCAAAAUGACCCCGUAACUUCGGGAGAAGGGGUGCUUUUUAGGGUGAAUAGCCCAGAAAAGCCGCAGUGAAUAGGCCCAGGCGACUGUUUAGCAAAAACACAGGUCUCUGCGAAGCCGCAAGGCGAAGUAUAGGGGCUGACACCUGCCCGGUGCUGGAAGGUUAAGGGGAGAGGUUAGCGCAAGCGAAGCUUUGAACCGAAGCCCCAGUAAACGGCGGCCGUAACUAUAACGGUCCUAAGGUAGCGAAAUUCCUUGUCGGGUAAGUUCCGACCCGCACGAAAGGUGUAACGAUCUGGGCACUGUCUCAACGAGAGACUCGGUGAAAUUAUAGUACCUGUGAAGAUGCAGGUUACCCGCGACAGGACGGAAAGACCCCGUGGAGCUUUACUGCAGCCUGAUAUUGAAUUUUGGUACAGCUUGUACAGGAUAGGUAGGAGCCUGAGAAGCCGGAGCGCCAGCUUCGGUGGAGGCGUUGGUGGGAUACUACCCUGGCUGUAUUGAAAUUCUAACCCGCGCCCCUUAUCGGGGUGGGAGACAGUGUCAGGUGGGCAGUUUGACUGGGGCGGUCGCCUCCUAAAGAGUAACGGAGGCGCCCAAAGGUUCCCUCAGAAUGGUUGGAAAUCAUUCGUAGAGUGUAAAGGCACAAGGGAGCUUGACUGCGAGACC
rnacentral:rRNA from 1 species